rnacentral:lncRNA from 1 species
CUUCCCUGCCGGCUUAUGAAGAAAGUGCCUGCUUCCCCUUUGCCUUCCGCCAUGAUUGUAGCUUUUCUGAGGCCUCCCCAGCCAUGCAGAACUACGUCUACAUGGGAUGUUUUUCCCAAGGAUCAAGUACCAAGACUAAACAAAGAUUCACUGCCUGAUUGAGUUUAGACCCGGCAAGCACAAGACCAUUGCUUCAUCUCCACCUUGGAUUGCAAAAUCUUUCAGGACCAGGGCUGUUGGCUGAAUAACUUGCUCCAUGGUACCAGGAUCUGCAACUCUUGGUGCAGAUUGUGGAUGGAGGUGAGUGGUGAGACAGGGUGGCAGCUAUCCUUGCACCUGAAAGAAGUUUGGUGACUCUCUGGGGCAGGUAUGCUUCGAAGGGAGCAAGCUCUUCCAGCUGCAGGGGGACCCUGCACAGCAGAGUCCUCAGCAAACCUUGGCAUUGCUUGUGGGCAGCCUCGCAGCUCAGCGGUGUGCUCAUGCCAGCUCCUCUAGAUGAUGCUGUAAUUGGAUAGCAACUUUCUUCACUAGGUCACAGGUUCAAGAGCAGCCCAGACCCUUCAGAUGUUGCUUUGUCCUCCCUCUCCCAGCCUGCACAGCAUCAAGCUACUCCUGGGGCCUGCCUGUCCUCUCUUCUGCCCCUUACACAAGCUGGGAGCUGAGCUGAAGCAGAGCUGGUUUUAAAGCUCUGACCUCCAUGAGGCAAGGACCACAAAAACCCUGGACCACAAAAAGCUAGGCUGCAGAGACAGGAACAAAAGCAAGGGAUGGCAGGAAGCUGAUUGACAUGUGGGAAUCCAACAAUGCCCCAGUCUUCCAGGCGGUGUGGGUCAUCUCAGCCAGCAGCACUCCUCAAAUGAGAAUGAGACAGGUCACCAUGGGUCACAGAGCCUCUCUACCAAAGAAGGAGAAAAAGAUCAAGGGGGGCUUUUGUAAAAAGGGAACAUAUGGACUGGCAAAAUAAAUCAGAGCUGGCCAUGGGGUAAGAUCUUCUUAUCCGAAGACCGUAGUCAUCGUUCCUGUCACCUUGGCUCUAGAAUAAAGCCCACAC